GGAAUUUUGGACAAUGGGCGCAAGCCUGAUCCAGCCAUGCCGCGUGCGGGAAGAAGGCCUUCGGGUUGUAAACCGCUUUUGCCAGGGAAGAAACGCUUCGAGCUAAUACCUUGAAGUAAUGACGGUACCUGAAGAAUAAGCACCGGCUAACUACGUGCCAGCAGCCGCGGUAAGACGUAGGGUGCGAGCGUUAAUCGGAAUUACUGGGCGUAAAGCGGGCGCAGGCGGUCAUGCAAGACAGAUGUGAAAUCCCCGGGCUCAACCUGGGAACUGCAUUUGUGACUGCAUGGCUGGAGUGCGGCAGAGGGGGAUGGAAUUCCGCGUGUAGCAGUGAAAUGCGUAGAUAUGCGGAGGAACACCGAUGGCGAAGGCAAUCCCCUGGGCCUGCACUGACGCUCAUGCACGAAAGCGUGGGGAGCAAA
rnacentral:rRNA from 1 species